rnacentral:misc_RNA from 1 species
GGAACAAAUUCAAUAAUCAUCAAUUUAAAAUAUACACAUUAUGAAACGUUAUUAAAUCCACAGAAAGCCCAAAAUCACAGAUGCAAAAUAAAAUCAAAACCAGUGACAUACAAUACUAAUCAAAUCUAUUCUAAUUACAAUAAAUCUACCAAUCAACAAACCAUAAAAGAAAAUCUCAUAUCAUAUUAUUGUAUGAUUAUUAACAAAAGAAUUGGGAGGAGAAGAGAAUGAAUCCAUUUAACGUUUGUGGGUAGUCUUAUGAUACUUGUCUUUGAUCCAAUGGAAUCCGGUGAUGGUACCUUCUUUGACCUUCUUCAUACCA